AGUGAACGCUGGCGGUAGGCCUAACACAUGCAAGUCGAACGGCAGCACAGUAAGAGCUUGCUCUUACGGGUGGCGAGUGGCGGACGGGUGGGGAAUACAUCGGAAUCUACUUUUUCGUGGGGGAUAACGUAGGGAAACUUACGCUAAUACCGCAUACGACCUACGGGUGAAAGCAGGGGAUCUUCGGACCUUGCGCGAUUGAAUGAGCCGAUGUCGGAUUAGCUAGUUGGCGGGAUAAAGGCCCACCAAGGCGACGAUCCGUAGCUGGUCUGAGAGGAUGAUCAGCCACACUGGAACUGAGACACGGUCCAGACUCCUACGGGAGGCAGCAGUGGGGAAUAUUGGACAAUGGGCGCAAGCCUGAUCCAGCCAUACCGCGUGGGUGAAGAAGGCCUUCGGGUUGUAAAGCCCUUUUGUUGGGAAAGAAAAGCAGCAGGUUAAUACCCCGCUGUUCUGACGGUACCCAAAGAAUAAGCACCGGCUAACUUCGUG
rnacentral:rRNA from 1 species